GAGAAAACUAAGUGGGUUUUUGUGUGUGGGUAAAGUAAAUAUGGUUGGAAAGACAUGACUUGUUAAGAGCUUUUUUGAGGACCCCACACUCACAAAAUCCUUUAGGUCAUGUGUUUGCUUUCUGAAACAUUUGGUAAGUAAUAAGUGCCAAGGGACUAUAUGCACUCCAUCUGGAAUUAGCAGAUUCCUCUUUGUUCAAUUGUUCCUAAAUUUGGAACCAGCUGACUUGCUUAAAAGUAUUUUGAUUUUCUUUUAAAUAAAUAUGGGAAAUAAACAUAGCCCAGGACCUUCAGAGAGGUGCGUUAUUAGUCUUUUCCCUGGCUCCACGAGCCACACAAGUCUUAAAGAGGCAUUUGCCAAUUUUGAUGCUUGCUCUUUGUUUAUGCUAACAAUUUAUUUGGAGUGGCCCAUCGUUUUUGCUUCCCUUUUAUAAAUAGUAUCAAAGAAAUCAGGGACGGAAAAAGAACUAUUAGGUCAUCAAACCCGCUCUACUGCCAGCGUAGGCUUGUUCCUCACAGUGUAUUUUUUUCCAUUUAUUUGUCCAGGUUAAACUUGGAAUUAAGUGUAAGGUCUGUAGGUCUGGUGAGAGGUACAAGAACAAGUGGAGAUUUUACUCUUUUCUCCUCUCUUUACUACACAAGAUAUCUUAUUUCCAUUCCCACCUUUCCUUCAGAAACAAGUGUAAUGUCAAAAGAUCAAGUAGAUGCUUUCUCUUUGCAGGUGUUGUAGAUAACUGCUUCAUUCCUGUAAAAAUUUAAUUUUUGCUUGGGGAAAGCAAAAAAAGGAAGAGAAAACAACACUUUGCUUAUCUUCCCUAUGCUCUAUAGCACCAAAUAAAACCAGAGACCAAACCACCUGCUUGUCCGUUCCUAUUCUGAGGAUCAAACCUGCAUUUCCUCUGUGUGGUUGAAAGUACUGCUUUAGUGGGAUGAAGUGCCAGCAGCACGCAGCUGAAUCUGCUGACACCGGUGUUUGGACUGGACCAAAGCAUGGCGGGACUGGCUGGCUCUUUUGGAACCUAAGCCAGUGGGUAUGUGCUCAGGAGUUGCACCAAGAGUUCAUGGAGUCUAAGAUGUUUGUGCACACCACAGGGAGAAGUGUUCACUUGCUUGUUGAUUCACUGCUGGUUGUGUUCCCUGGCUGCAAUCAGAGCACAGUUUCCCCUUCAGAAGUUUAGAAUCGUGGAGAAGAUGAGAUGUGAGCUUUGGCUGCCCUGGGCAGAUUCUCCUGUGAGCCUGUGGAUUUAGUUUCUACAGAGCUCAGCCACCUGCACCAGUCAGUGAUGGGGCCUUCUCAAAGAAAUGGUUCUAAAUUUACCCAGUGUUGAGUUAGCAUACUCCAAGAGGAACCCACCAGUUACAGAGGGCUGCAUAUUACUGGUCCAGAAGCAAUUUCAGUGUCAAAACUGCUCCAGGAACAAGGUACACCUGGGAAUGGUUGAGCAAAAUGAUAGUCACAACUGCCACCUCUCAUGAUGUUCCACUUGUUUACUUGUUAUUAGUGAGUAGCACGUGGCCUGCAGGAGUCCACAGGCAACCACUUCCAAAUCCCUAGACAUGCUGCAUUGCACAGCUCUUGCUCUUCUUUUAUUUUUUUCUUUCCAAACAAGGUUUUUUUAGCUUUUGACAUUUUAGGAGAAAUUUAGAAAAGAAAAAACGGACAGAGAUCUAUUCUGAUUUAUGACAAAAUAAAGAUAAACUUCUGCAAGAAGUAAGCAAUCAAAAACUAGCUACAGUUGUAAUAACCAGAACUUUAUGUAUUUGUGCCCAUAAAGAGAUAACAGAGUGGCAUUGUCUAUCUAUGAGCAGAAAACAGUGGUUUUCUAAGCUUAAUCUCAUAAUUAUGCACUUUCCAUGUGAGUUAAUAAUUGUAUCUCAUUUCCACCCUAAAGAUGAUGGUCUUGGUGGAUAGCGCUGCUCACUAUGUUCAUUUGCUGAGUGUUGGUUAGUUAUUACUCAUGAGGAUGUUGUUCCAAAGGAGCUAAGGUCUGGCUGUGGCUAAAGGAGAUGUACUCGAAGUGGUAAUCAACCUUUUAAUGCCAGUGGUAAAAAUGCCACGUGAAGGCAUGCAACUCCUUGAGGACUACAUGACUCUCCAUACUGCCUUGGCGCUGUGUGGACACCAUUGGUACUCACAGUGCACCCCAGAUCUUACCUACACUCUGCUCUGUAUCAGGACUCAUUUUGAUCUCAUUUCAGAGGUGAAUAUACUGUGGGACUGUAAAGAGCUGUGCUGGAUCAGAAAUGGAAAACAUAACCAUAGCCAGCAGCAGCUGGAUACAAGAAUUUCAGCUGGAUGUUGCACAAAAAGUUGUACUCUUAGGUUUGUGGUAGAAGAGUUCUCCAAGGUGUAGGAUGACCUCAGAAAUGUUCUUAUUCUUGCGCAGCUUUUGUUUGCUUGUUAUCUCUGAAAAGAGGGAAAUAAGAAUUUCCAGAUUUGUUUUUUUUUUUUUUUUUCUGCAAAAACAAAAUGUCACAGUGCCCUUUUUAGAAGAUACAUUCCUGACUUCCUUGUUACUCAAAACGAGAUCAACCUGUGUGGCCUUGAGUGGACUAGGAGACGGGCAUAUUUUUUAUUGCCGAUUCCAACUCAUAAAUUCUUAACUUGCUUAGAAUUUGCCAGAUUAAAUGAAAAGAUUCUGUAAUUAGGGAUUUAUUAAAACAUGGAUCCUUGACCUGAUAGAAUAUAAUAACUCAUUUGUUUCAAAUAAGACCUAUUUAAUUGUUCCAUCGCUGGCCUGAACAUUUCGUGCUGAGGCUUUGAACCCUCUCCAUUCUGCGCAGUCCCGCAUGUUCUCCAAAUCCACUUGCAAAAAGCAAAAUGCUCUGUGAAAUUCUUGAUCCCCAAGCCACUAUGCAGGCAGAAGCCCCUAAAACAAAAAUGUGUCAUUGUAAUUAAAAAUUAAAGUCCUGAAAGCCCUUAUUAUUCAACGCUACAAAGCAAAGACUAUGGAAAUACUAUUUUUAUGCAUGCGGCUCUGUUUUAAUUUUUUUUUUUUUUUUUGUGAGCAACCCUCCUUCUCCAUAUCUUUAAAAACAAUAGUUAUUGAUUUACAAUCAUAUAAAUAAGGCUGUAAAAUCUUGUAACACAGAGCUAUAAAUAGAUAUUUGAAAAAAAUAUGAAAAUUGCUCCCAAGUCAAGUCCAUAUAUGGCACUAGUCAGCAGAGAGCCAUUUUACGGAGACAUAUAAACUGCAGAAAAUAAUUUCUAUUGAAAAUGCAAAGAAAUCUGAAACUAAGCACUGCCACAAACAAUGCAGCCAUAAUUAAGGAAUUACCCACUCCUUCUCCUCAUCUUUGAAAUAAGCCUUCUCCUUUAUUUAAUUGGUUAGAUACAGAAAGCGUAUUACUAUAUUUGGGUCCUGUUUCCCUAGUAUAAGAAUAGUCCUACAAGGAAUUCCCAGUUAGAGUGAGGCAGUUCUACAACAUAUUAAAAAAAAAUACCACAGGAAAGUGUUAUCCAAUGGGCAGAUGUUAACUUAAAGUGCACAUUGUUUGGAAAAGGAGUUAAUUAACAACUUAUUAAUUGGAUAGAAAGUCUGAAACUGUUGUACUUCUAGCAAAUACAUAAUUUUCUUCAAGUAUUAUUAAAGCGUUUUUGUUGUACCUAUUAAAGAUUCUUGUCUCUAAGUUAAUUUCAUUAUGCUAAUAAGCUAUCAUCGUUACAGAACCUAAGCUUUGAUCCAUGUUAAUUGUCGUGAUCUUCAAAGACAAAGUCACCACUUACUUUAAAUGAAUUUUACAUCUUUUUAAAGAAUCACACGGAAAUUAGGGGAAGUAAUUAAUUUUUUAUUAUGUGUCUCAAUAUUUUUAAGGGAGGAAGUCAAUGGUAUUGGCUAGAAUUCAUUUUAACAUUUAACUAGGGAAAACAGCAUGAGGCAAAAAAACGUUCAGAUGCAAAAGAUUAAAGAAAAUUUGAAACUGGGACCUAAUUUGUCUUGAUAAACUUUGGUGUUUAAUAUGCUUCUUUUGUUCUCUGUGUGAAACUGCAGGGUUUUGAUUUGUAAAAACUUUUUGAAGAAUUAAUUCUGUCUAAUUUUUAUUCCUUUCUUUGCUUUCCUUUCACUGUAAGACAGAGGAGAUGACCUUCAAACCAUAACACUUUAAAUAUCUAUGAAUAUACAAGGUUAAAUCUACUAGAGGUCUGAGAUUAGCUGCUAUAUACUUGCAAAAUAUGUACCUUUUGCAGCAAUUUUUAUCUUUUAAUGAAUGAUAACAAGCUCACAUCAACCCUACAAGUUUUUAAAAUAUAAUGGAAUAUGUGUAGCAAGUGAUCUAUUCCUCUUUCCUAUAAGUGUUGGUUACUUUAACCCUCUGAUGCUUUUCAAGGCUCAGUUCUGUAUCAACAGGGUAUUUUUUGGAUUUGGGAUCAGGACCUAAUGUCAGUAUUAUCAGCCAACCUAUGACUGCCAAUUUAUAGUUUACCCAAAUUCUCCCUUAUCUUUUCCAGAUUUUUCUCUUGUUUCGAUUCAAGAUGAACAUCUUCUAAAUAUGAUUUUUCUUUUAAAGGAAGUUUCCUGUCUGUUUUCCAACAUUUAAAAUCUCACUGAAAUGGAAGUCCUGGAGUACGAGCAUCCUUUCGUAUUUGCAGUGAAAAACAGAGCCUUUUUAUAUGGCAGUGGACAAAAGUAUAUUAAGGAUAGAGGAAGUGAUUGAAAUCAAAAGCCAGAUUACUAACUUCAUUCUCUCUAGUUAGCAGCACGCAAGUACUGUAAAUGCAAGUAAACAUCAAGUUUCAACUGAGCCUGGAUGGUCGGAUUUCUGCAGCAGACAGGUGGUGAGCUCAUCGCGAGGAUUUUUCAGCAUUAAUGUUGUACUCAUUUAGACUAACACCAGGCUUGAGUGACCCUCAUCUGGAUUUAACCUAUGACCUGUCAAUCCAGAGACAUGCUCUCAGACCUCAACAGUUUUGCUUUUCCGUGUUUUUUAUUUCUUUUUUUAAGCAUAGAUGACUUUAAUCAUUAAGCAGCUUUCAUAAGCAGAACAUAUACAAGCGCUACUCGGUGCUCUUUGAUUUGUAAUCUAGGUUUUUGCCCAUUUAAUCCCCAGUGUCUAAGUGAAUUCCGCUGAAGUUCAGAAUUCUUUGAUUGAGCACGUAGUGAUUGGGUAAAGGAUUGCAUUGCUUCUCUGUCUGCUUUUACACUUUCUGUGACAGAGCUUUUUUGUGCAAAAACGUCCACUGCGCGGUAUCGUUUAUUUUUUCCCUUUUGUCUGCUUGUCUAUUAUCUGGUUGUUCCUUUUGCUCCUUUUUAUUAUAGUAUUUGGCUACUGGUUUCAUGCCCAAAGGAGAAAUUUCCGAUGAAGCAAGAUUUGAUUUGGUUUUGAUUUUUUUUUUUUUCCUGAUGCUAAUUUUAGAUACGUUUUGAUGUAGAACAUUUGUUCUUUAAUAUUGAUGACCUUUUUCAAAAGCACAGGUUAUUCCAGACCCUGGGUAUGACAUAAAGGGUCAAGCUGUCCUGUUGUACAGAGAAGCCAGAGCCACCUCAACGCUUUGUGAAAUCCCAAAGUGCCCUCCCUUGCCUGAACAAUUUGAAGACUGGUUUCUGUCCUAACUUGGUCUGAAUCUGCCUUUGGUGCUGCUGUGGAAAUAGGAGGCCAUGGUUUAUUUGCUCUGCUCUUUUGAGGGUUGCUCAGGGCAAUGCAAUCCAAAAGAUGCUGUGGCACCAAGGCACAUGUUCCCAGCCCAGUCAUAGCACUUAUCUCUAUAAUGGAGUGGUAAAGCCUUCUAACAUGCAGUUCACAGAAAUGGAUUGUACCAAGAGCAUCUAUAAAAGCCACAGCAUCCAUUUGAAAAGAGCAUAAUGUCACCAU